rnacentral:rRNA from 1 species
ACGCUGGCGGCAUGCCUAAUACAUGCAAAUCGAACGAAGCCUUUUAGGCUUAGUGGUGAACGGGUGAGUAACACGUAUCCAAUCUACCCUUAAGUUGGGGAUAACUAGUCGAAAGAUUAGCUAAUACCGAAUAAUAACAUCAAUAUCGCAUGAGAAGAUGUAGAAAGUCGCUCUUUGUGGCGACGCUUUUGGAUGAGGGUGCGACGUAUCAGAUAGUUGGUGAGGUAAUGGCUCACCAAGUCAAUGACGCGUAGCUGUACUGAGAGGUAGAACAGCCACAAUGGGACUGAGACACGGCCCAUACUCCUACGGGAGGCAGCAGUAGGGAAUUUUUCACAAUGGGCGCAAGCCUUAUGAAGCAAUGCCGCGUGAACGAUGAAGGUCUUAUAGAUUGUAAAGUUCUUUUAUAUGGGAAGAAACGCUAAAAUAGGAAAUGAUUUUAGUUUGACUGUACCAUUUGAAUAAGUAUCGGCUAACUAUGUGCCAGCAGCCGCGGUAAUACAUAGGAUGCAAGCGUUAUCCGGAUUUACUGGGCGUAAAACGAGCGCAGGCGGGUUUGUAAGUUUGGUAUUAAAUCUAGAUGCUUAACGUCUAGCUGUAUCAAAAACUGUAAACCUAGAGUGUAGUAGGGAGUUGGGGAACUCCAUGUGGAGCGGUAAAAUGCGUAGAUAUAUGGAAGAACACCGGUGGCGAAGGCGCCAACUUGGACUAUCACUGACGCUUAGGCUCGAAAGUGUG